AAAUUAUGAUCAAGAUUCCGGAUCUGGUUCCGGCGAUGGAGCUUUUUGCCCUAACCCGUGUCUCAACGGAGGUACAUGUGUGGGGACUGGGUAUUGCCAUUGCCCUUUAGGAUUUGCAGGCGACAGCUGUGAGGAGAAAAUUACAUCCGUCACGUGUAGUAGCGACUCAAUGACCAUCGUCAUAAAGAUAUAUAAAACAAAUGAUACUUUCCCGGAAGAUGUCCAUUUUCGUGACCAUUCCUGCCCAUAUAUCAGCAUUAGUCCUACUAAUGUGACCUUUUUUACGAAGUAUGAUGAGUGUGGAACAAUCAGAACGGAAAAUGAAACGGACAUAACAUUCUCGAAUGUUAUCACUUAUUACAAGCCAGAGCCUAUACCUGGCACUGAUAUCACCCGUCA